rnacentral:rRNA from 1 species
GACGAACGCUGGCGGUGUGCUUAACACAUGCAAGUCGAACGGAAAGGCCCUGCUUUUGUGGGGUGCUCGAGUGGCGAACGGGUGAGUAACACGUGAGUAACCUGCCCUUGACUUUGGGAUAACUUCAGGAAACUGGGGCUAAUACCGGAUAGGAGCUCCUGCUGCGUGGUGGGGGUUGGAAAGUUUCGGCGGUUGGGGAUGGACUCGCGGCUUAUCAGCUUGUUGGUGGGGUAGUGGCUUACCAAGGCUUUGACGGGUAGCCGGCCUGAGAGGGUGACCGGCCACAUUGGGACUGAGAUACGGCCCAGACUCCUACGGGAGGCAGCAGUGGGGAAUAUUGCACAAUGGGCGGAAGCCUGAUGCAGCAACGCCGCGUGCGGGAUGACGGCCUUCGGGUUGUAAACCGCUUUCGCCUGUGACGAAGCGUGAGUGACGGUAAUGGGUAAAGAAGCACCGGCUAACUACGUG